rnacentral:rRNA from 1 species
GUCUAUGGCCAUACCACCCUGAGUGCCUGAUCUCGUCUCAUCUCAGAAGCUAAGCAGGGUUGGGCCUAGUUAGUCCUUGGAUGGGAGACCAGAUGGGAUAGUAGCUGAGGGAGUAA